rnacentral:rRNA from 1 species
AGUAAUGUCUGGGAAACUGCCUGAUGGAGGGGGAUAACUGCUGGAAACGGUAGCUAAUACCGCAUAACGUCGCAAGACCAAAGAGGGGGACCUUCGGGCCUCUUGCCAUCGGAUGUGCCCAGAUGGGAUUAGCUAGUAGGUGGGGCAACGGCUCACCCAGGCGACGAUCCCUAGCUGGUCUGAGAGGAUGGCCAGCCACACUGGAACUGAGACACGGUCCAG